GAUGAACGCUAGCGGCAGGCCUAACACAUGCAAGUCGAGGGGCAACAGGAGUAGCAAUACUUGCUGGCGACCGGCGCACGGGUGAGUAACGCGUAUGCAACCUACCCAUAACAAGGGGAUAGCUUUCGGAAACGGAAAUUAAUACCCUAUAGUAUUCCCGGGUCGCAUGGCCUGGGGGUUAAAACUACGGUGGUUAUGGAUGGGCAUGCGUGCCAUUAGCUAGUUGGCGGGGUAACGGCCCACCAAGGCGAUGAUGGCUAGGGGGUCUAAAAGGAUGAUCCCCCACACUGGUACUGAGACACGGACCAGACUCCUACGGGAGGCAG
rnacentral:rRNA from 1 species